UGUUAGGUUUUCGAGCUGCUCUGCGCAAGCUUGAGGAAGGAUGUUGCAUUGAGGAUGCAGAAGCUGUUUGUGAGCCUGAAGUUCUUAACCACAUAUUUAAGUGGAAGAUUGUUGAUAGGCUUCAUUGGUACAUAGAGAAAGGCAAUACAGAUUGAAAGAUUUUAGAAUAAAAAAUAGAAGCCAUGUUAGAUAUUCUCUUCGAAUUGUGCUCAGGGCAGCAAGUUAAUUGGGAGAAGUAAGCAUUAUAUGGAGGCAAUAUUGAUGAGGCUACAUUGAUCUCUACUUCUUCAAGGCUGAAUUGGGAGGCUGGCCUGACUUAAUUGAGAAUUGACUAUCAGGAAGGGACUAUAUUUUCACUAUAUUUUCAACUAAUUAAUCUCCAGACGGCUAAAACUGAAGGUGGCUCGACUAACAACGCUUCAGCUCGAGCCUUGAGACUCACGCUGGCAUACGACUCACACAGGAAUGGCUCGUUGCGCGUGGCUCACGUAUGGCUUACACGAAACGGCUCGGAUCCACAGAGAUGACUCACGAGGCUCGGUGAAGGAAUACGACUCGAACUAACACGACUUGGACAUGUGGCUCGCAAAAAGAAAACUUUCACAGCUUGCAUCCUUCACUGUCAAGCACGAUGAUGUCCGGCGGUGCUGUGCGAGUGGAGGCAACGACGGAUGAUGGUUUCGACGGAAGAGAGGGUUCUGACCGAUGAUGUGUAGGAGGAACGUACAGAGGAAGACAGGGGUCGUUCGACGGUUCGAUGCAACACGCGUCGACACGGCUGGAGAGAAAUGAACGGUUGUGCUUCGUGACCGUGACGCUUCGACUAUGCGACUUUGACAGGGACUCUCUCACCGGAGUGCUGCAUUCGAUGAUGGCUGGAGGAGC